ensembl:lncRNA
AGCGAAUCCCCAUGCGUAAGAGAGUUGUCCAACUUUUGUCAAGAGAUUAAAGUAACGGCUUAGGUAUUUUACGGUCUUGUGUUCGGCAUUAGGUCGCUUGCUCUGAAAAGAUUCUGGAGUAUUUUCAAAUGUCUUGAUUGCACCGAUUAGUCCCUUAGCCUUUGACGAAGUCUUCUGGGCAAGACUCCCACUGUGAGGAAAGCCACACAGGCAUCAGAGACAUGACAGGCUCUCUCCUAGCCCUAUAGGGAGGAAAAGACGCAGACAUCCAUGGUUGUCACGGUUACAUAACCCCAGUCCUGGCGAACUCUUAAGCAUUCUUAAGGCUCUAAGCUGUGCUGACUGCAGUGAGGUUCCAUCCAUGAACAUGGCAGAGUUAGGGCGUGGAGGAGCUCCUUCACCAGACUGGACCUGGAUCUGUUCUGGCACACUUUCAAACCAAAACUACAGGUCAUUAAGACAUAAGGGAUUGGUAAAACACACAACAAAUGUAAUCAUUUACAAGGUAUUAUUACUGUGAAGAACAAUGUGAUGAAAAUGAACAAGCAUUGUCUCUAUUUGUAUGUAGUAUGCGUACAUGUGCUGUACACAUCACAUGGAAAUGAAUUAGUAUGCAUCUGUAACCCCUGGCAUAGCUAACAGCUAUGAAAGUUUGAAG